rnacentral:rRNA from 1 species
ACGGUCCUUCACCCUUCGGGGUGAAGGAUAGUGGCGAAUGGGUGAGUAACGCGUAAGUAACCUGCCCCCAAGUAGGGAAUAACUCCGAGAAAUUGGAGCUAAUACCGUAUGUGGUGAUGGGGGUAAUAGUCCAUUACUAAAGCCUUAGGGCGCUUGGGGAGGGGCUUGCGUCCGAUUAGCUAGUUGGUAGGGUAACGGUCUACCAAGGCGAUGAUCGGUAGCUGGUCUGAGAGGAUGGUCAGCCACACUGGGACUGAGACACGGCCCAGACUCCUACGGGAGGCAGCAGCAAGGAAUAUUGUGCAAUGGGCGAAAGCCUGACACAGCGACGCUGCGUGGGGGAUGAAGGCCUUCGGGUCGUAAACCCCUUUUCUCAGGGAAGAAUAAUGACGGUACCUGAGGAAUAAGUCAUGGCUAACUACGUGCCAGCAGCCGCGGUAAUACGUAGGUGGCGAGCGUUAUCCGGAUUUACUGGGCGUAAAGAGGGUGCAGGCGGUUCUUCAAGUCGGAUGUAAAAUCUCCCGGCUCAACGGGGAGGAACCAUUCGAUACUGUUGGGCUAGAGGGCAGCAGGGGGAGGUAGAAUUCCCGGUGUAGUGGUGAAAUGCGUAGAUAUCGGGAGGAAUACCAGUGGCGAAGGCGACCUCCUGGGCUGUUGCUGACGCUGAGGCCCGAAAGCGUGGGGAGCAAACAGGAUUAGAUACCCUGGUAGUCCACGCCGUAAACGAUGGACACUAGGUAUAGGGAGUAUCGACCCUCUCUGUGCCGAAGCUAACGCGUUAAGUGUCCCGCCUGGGGACUACGGCCGC